AUUGAACGCUGGCGGCAGGCUUAACACAUGCAAGUCGAGCGAGCGGCGGACGGGUGAGUAAUGUCUGGGAAACUGCCUGAUGGAGGGGGAUAACUACUGGAAACGGUAGCUAAUACCGCAUACUAUCGGAUGAACCCAUAUGGGAUUAGCUAGUUGGUGAGGUAAUGGCUCACCAAGGCGUCGAUCCCUAGCUGGUCUGAGAGGAUGAUCAGCCACACUGGAACUGAGACACGGCCCAGACUCCUACGGGAGGCAGCAGUGGGGAAUAUUGCACAAUGGGGGCAACCCUGACGCAGCCAUGCCGCGUGAAUGAAGAAGGCCUUCGGGUUGUAAAGUUCUUUCGGUAGCGAGGCGUUAACUACAGAAGAAGCACCGGCUAACUCCGUGCCAGCCGCCGCGGUAAUUC
rnacentral:rRNA from 1 species